CUGAGUGUAACUUUACAUUGAAGCCUGAGCUGCAUUCGGUCAGAUUGAACAAAAGAACAUGACGUUGCUGCAUCAGCCCAAAAGUUCCAUAUUCAUUUCAAAAUAUGCUUCUCGCUUUCACCACAUCUCAAGUGGCUCCAGCUUUAGUGUCUUUCCGAGUACAGGAAGAUUCGGGAUUGCAACUUCUGUGGUAUUACGCAAAAAAGGUGUGAACAUA
rnacentral:lncRNA from 1 species